CCUACGGGUGGCAGCAGUGGGGAAUAUUGCACAAUGGGGGAAACCCUGAUGCCGCAACGCCGCGUGAGUGAAGAAGUAUUUCGGUAUGUAAAGCUCUAUCAGCAGGGAAGAAGAUGACGGUACCUGAUUAAGAAGCCCCGGCUACCUACGUGCCAGCAGCCGCGGUAAUACGUAGGGGGCAAGCGUUAUCCGGAUUUACUGGGUGUAAAGGGCGUGUAGCCGGGCUGACAAGUCAGAUGUGAAAUCCGGUGGCUCAAACCCCGAACUGCAGUUGAAACUGUUGGUCUUGAGUAUCGGAGAGGCAGGCGGUAUUCCUAGUGUAGCGGUGAAAUGCGUAGAUAUGAGGAGGAACACCAGUGGCGAAGGCGGCCUGCUGGACGACAACUGACGGUGAGGCGCGAAAGCGUGGGGAGCAAACAGGAUUAGAUACCCGGUAGUC
rnacentral:rRNA from 1 species